UAGUGGCGAACGGGUGAGUAACACGUGGGCAAUCUGCCCUUCACUCUGGGACAAGCCCUGGAAACGGGGUCUAAUACCGGAUAACACCUGCCCGGGCAUCCGGGUGGGUUAAAAGCUCCGGCGGUGAAGGAUGAGCCCGCGGCCUAUCAGCUUGUUGGUGAGGUAGUGGCUCACCAAGGCGACGACGGGUAGCCGGCCUGAGAGGGCGACCGGCCACACUGGGACUGAGACACGGCCCAGACUCCUACGGGAGGCAGCAGUGGGGAAUAUUGCACAAUGGGCGAAAGCCUGAUGCAGCGACGCCGCGUGAGGGAUGACGGCCUUCGGGUUGUAAACCUCUUUCAGCAGGGAAGAAGCGAAAGUGACGGUACCUGCAGAAGAAGCGCCGGCUAACUACGUGCCAGCAGCCGCGGUAAUACGUAGGGCGCAAGCGUUGUCCGGAAUUAUUGGGCGUAAAGAGCUCGUAGGCGGCUUGUCACGUCGGGUGUGAAAGCCCGGGGCUUAACCCCGGGUCUGCAU
rnacentral:rRNA from 1 species